CCUACGGGAGGCAGCAGUGAGGAAUAUUGGUCAAUGGACGUAAGGCUGAACCAGCCAAGUCGCGUGAAGGAAGAAGGAUCUAUGGUUUGUAAACUUCUUUUAUAGGGGAAUAAAGGUAUUCACGUGUGGAUUUUUGCAUGUACCCUAUGAAUAAGCAUCGGCUAACUCCGUGCCAGCAGCCGCGGUAAUACGGAGGAUGCGAGCGUUAUCCGGAUUUAUUGGGUUUAAAGGGAGCGUAGGUGGGUUUUUAAGUCAGCGGUGAAAGUUUGUGGCUCAACCAUAAAAUUGCGGUUGAAACUGGAAGACUUGAGUGUGUUUGAGGUAGGCGGAAUGCGUGGUGUAGCGGUGAAAUGCAUAGAUAUCACGCAGAACUCCGAUUGCGAAGGCAGCUUACUAAGCCAUAACUGACACUGAAGCACGAAAGCGUGGGGAUCAAACAGGAUUAGAUACCCGAGUAGUC
rnacentral:rRNA from 1 species